rnacentral:rRNA from 1 species
UAUGGUUCCUUUGAUCGCUCAUCCGUUACUUGGAUAACUGUGGCAAUUCUAGAGCUAAUACAUGCAAACGAGCGCUGACCCUCCGGGUAUGCGUGCAUUUAUCAGACCCAAAACCCAUGCGGGGCGUCCUCUCGGGGGCGCCCCGGCCGCUUUGGUGACUCUAGAUAACCUCGAGCCGAUCGCUGGCCCUCCGUGGCGGCGACGUCUCAUUCGAAUGUCUGCCCUAUCAACUUUCGAUGGUACUUUAUGUGCCUACCAUGGUGACCACGGGUAACGGGGAAUCAGGGUUCGAUUCCGGAGAGGGAGCCUGAGAAACGGCUACCACAUCCAAGGAAGGCASCAGGCGCGCAAAUUACC